CCGGCGAGGGGAGUGAAAAAGAACCUGAAACCGUGUACGUACAAGCAGUGGGAGCACCCUUUUGGGUGUGACUGCGUACCUUUUGUAUAAUGGGUCAGCGACUUAUAUUCUGUAGCAAGGUUAACCGUAUAGGGGAGCCGUAGGGAAACCGAGUCUUAACCGGGCGUUAAGUUGCAGGGUAUAGACCCGAAACCCGGUGAUCUAGCCAUGGGCAGGUUGAAGGUUGGGUAACACUAACUGGAGGACCGAACCGACUAAUGUUGAAAAAUUAGCGGAUGACCUGUGGCU
rnacentral:rRNA from 1 species